AAGCUACCGCGUGUCCUCUUUGGUCCCCUUGACUCCCGUGCUCAUGGUUUAGCAGGAGACUGGAACAGUGGACAACUGGAACUAGUGACAGCAUGAAGUUCAACAAAAGAAAAUGCUGGGUUCUGCACCUGGGAUGGAGUAACACCAGAUACAGACCAAUUACCUGGGUGUGUGUGUGUGCACUGAGAGGGAAAUUCACUUUGCUAAAGGUGUCAAUAACUGAACCGGAAUGCAAAGCAAUGGAAGUAGUCUCAUUCUGUGGGUCUAUAUGUUUCGGUUUGUAACAACUGCAUGGUGCUUACAGAGGGCUCCUUCACACAUCCCUGAAUGUCUACGGGUAUUCUUCGGGCAGACAAAUCCCAUCACACUGUGCAGCAAUUUGCUCAGAGAACCUUGAUCAAACAAGGUUUUUAUGGGCCUGCCUCCGUUCUCUAUGAAGUUAAAGCCC
rnacentral:lncRNA from 1 species